rnacentral:rRNA from 1 species
UUAGAGGAAGUAAAAGUCGUAACAAGGUUUCCGUAGGUGAACCUGCGGAAGGAUCAUUACCGAGUACGGGCUCCCUUGUCGGGGCCCGACCUCUUCACCGUGCUGCAUCGGACCCUGUUGCUUCAGCGGGCUGGAAGGUGAUGCUCGCCAUCAUCUUUCACCGUCAUGCCCGCUGGAGACCCAUUUAAUGCUGAAACAAUGCCGUCUGAGUGGGAAUUCAAAUCUAGUCGCAAAACUUUCAACAAUGGAUCUCUUGGUUCCGGCAUCGAUGAAGAACGCAGCGAAAUGCGAUAAGUAAUGUGAAUUGCAGAAUUCCGUGAAUCAUCGAAUCUUUGAACGCAUAUUGCGCCCUCUGGUAUUCCAGAGGGCAUGCCUGUCCGAGUGUCAUUGCCUCUCUCCAAGCUCCGCUUGGGUGUUGGGCUGUCGUCCCGCGCCCCCUCCCAGGGGGCGGGGACGGGCCUGAAAGACAACGGCGGUGUCACGAUCGAUCCCCGAGCGUAUGGGUUUUCCCCGCUCUAUGGGCUUGAUGGGACACUUGCUUUUCCCCUGCGGUGUUGACCCCAGUGGACCUCGGAUCAGGUAAGGAUACCCGCUGAACUUAAGCAUAUCAAUAA